GGCCUUGUACCACGAAUUGGGCUGGUAAAGAGAGGCUUGAAAGUGUUACUUACGCCUCAUUAAAAAUCUUGUCAAGAAAAUCCAUUGGGACAAAACUUGACAAGGGAAAAAGAGUGCAUAAGCAACACUUAACCCUUUACCGAACCUCUUGAGUCGUGAUCACUAUGAGUGAAGAUUGAACGACGUCUUCUUGAGUCUUGUUUAGCUCCUUUAGAAGUCCAUUGAUGGCUUGGUUGAACUUCUUAUUUCUUGAUCUUGUUAGAAGACCCGCCGGGACGAUCAAUGCUUCCU
rnacentral:lncRNA from 1 species